UACGUAGGGUGCGAGCGUUGUCCGGAAUUACUGGGCGUAAAGAGCUUGUAGGCGGUUUGUCGCGUCUGCCGUGAAAAUCCGGGGCUCAACCCCGGACUUGCGGUGGGUACGGGCAGACUAGAGUGUGGUAGGGGAGACUGGAAUUCCUGGUGUAGCGGUGAAAUGCGCAGAUAUCAGGAGGAACACCGAUGGCGAAGGCAGGUCUCUGGGCCACUACUGACGCUGAGAAGCGAAAGCGUGGGGAGCGAACAGG
rnacentral:rRNA from 1 species